rnacentral:rRNA from 1 species
AACGAACGCUGGCGGCAGGCUUAACACAUGCAAGUCGAGCGCCCCGCAAGGGGAGCGGCAGACGGGUGAGUAACGCGUGGGAAUCUACCCAUCUCUACGGAAUAACGCAUGGAAACGUGUGCUAAUACCGUAUACGUCCUUCGGGAGAAAGAUUUAUCGGAGAUGGAUGAGCCCGCGUUGGAUUCGCUAGUUGGUGGGGUAAAGGCCUACCAAGGCGACGAUCCAUAGCUGGUCUGAGAGGAUGAUCAGCCACACUGGGACUGAGACACGGCCCAGACUCCUACGGGAGGCAGCAGUGAAGAGUAUUGGACAAUGGGCGCAAGCCUGAUCCAGCCAUGCCGCGUGAGUGAUGAAGGCCCUAGGGUUGUAAAGCUCUUUCACAGGUGAAGAUAAUGACGGGAACCGGAGAAGAAGCCCCGGCUAACUUCGUGCCAGCAGCCGCCGCAGUAA